rnacentral:rRNA from 1 species
UCUGGUUGAUCCUGCCUGAACUGAUGUGUUCAUUUCAAAGAUUAAGCCAUGCAUGUAUAAGUUUAAUCGUUUUACGAGAAACCGCGAACGGCUCAUUACAAUGGCCAUGAUUUACUUGAUCUUGAUUAUCUAAAUGGAUAACUGUGGAAAAGCUAGAGCUAAUACAUGCACCAAAGCUUUGUCCUCUCGGAAAAGCGCAUUUAUUAGAACAAAACCACGCGGCUUCGGCUGCUUCUUGUUGACUCAGAAUAACUAAGCUGACCGCAUGGCCUUGUGCCGGCGGCGUGUCUUUCAAGCGUCCACUUUAUCAACUUGACGGGAGCAUAAUCGACUCCCGUGGUGGUGACGGAUAACGGAGGAUCAGGGUUCGACUCCGGAGAAGGGGCCUGAGAAAUGGCCACUACGUCUAAGGAUGGCAGCAGGCGCGCAAAUUACCCACUCUCGGCUCGAGGAGGUAGUGACGAGAAAUAACGAGAUCGUUCUCUUUGAGGCCGGUCAUCGGAAUGGGUACAAUUUAAACCCUUUAACGAGUAUCAAGCAGAGGGCAAGUCUGGUGCCAGCAGCCGCGGUAAUUCCAGCUCUGCUAAUACAUAGAAUUAUUGCUGCGGUUAAAAAGCUCGUAGUUGGAUUCGUAUCGGUACCCUGGAACCCUCCGGGUGUUUCUGGGUGUUAUCGAUUUAUCGUAAUGUUCGGUUUUGAGUCCUUAACAGGAUUCUUAACAGGCAUUGCAAGUUUACUUUGAACAAAUCAGAGUGCUUCAAACAGGCGUUUUCGCUUGAAUGAUCGUGCAUGGAAUAAUAGAAAACGAUUUCGGUUCAGUUUUAUUGGUUUUACGGACUGAGAUAAUGGUUAACAGAGACAAACGGGGGCAUUUGUAUGGCCCCGUGAGAGGUGAAAUUCUUGGACCGUGGCCAGACAAACUACAGCGAAAGCAUUUGCCAAGAAUGUCUUCAUUAAUCAAGAACGAAAGUCAGAGGUUCGAAGGCGAUCAGAUACCGCCCUAGUUCUGACCGUAAACGAUGCCAACUAGCGAUCCGCCGAUGGAAAUUAUAUUGCCUUGGUGGGGAGCUUCCCGGAAACGAAAGUCUUCCGGUUCCGGGGGAAGUAUGGUUGCAAAGCUGAAACUUAAAGGAAUUGACGGAAGGGCACCACCAGGAGUGGAGCCUGCGGCUUAAUUUGACUCAACACGGGGAAACUCACCCGGCCCGGACACUGUGAGGAUUGACAGAUUGAUAGCUUUUUCAUGAUUCAGUGGAUGGUGGUGCAUGGCCGUUCUUAGUUCGUGGAGUGAUUUGUCUGGUUUAUUCCGAUAACGAGCGAGACUCUAACCUACUAAAUAGCUGGUACAUAAUUUAAGUGUAUACAGCUUCUUAGAGGGAUUUGCGGUGUUCAGCCGAAAGAAAUUGAGCAAUAACAGGUCUGUGAUGCCCUUAGAUGUCCGGGGCUGCACGCGCGCUACACUGGCAAAAUCAACGUGCUUGUCCUACCCCGAAAGGGGCGGGUAAACCAUUGAAAAUUUGCCGUGAUUGGGAUCGGAAAUUGCAAUUAUUUUCCUUGAACGAGGAAUUCCAAGUAAGUGCGAGUCAUCAGCUCGCGUUGAUUACGUCCCUGCCCUUUGUACACACCGCCCGUCGCUGCCCGGGACUGAGCCAUUUCGAGAAAUUUGGGGACCGUUGAUUUAAUUUUUCUAAAUUACUUUGAUGGAAACCAAUUUAAUCGCAGUGGCUUGAACCGGGCAAAAGUCGUAACAAGGUAGCUGUAGGUGAACCUGCUGCUG